rnacentral:snRNA from 1 species
GCACUCUUGUUUCUCUUCAGAUUGUAUAAAUCUUUCGCCUUUUACUAAAGAUUUCUGUGGGGAGGAACAACAAGAGUUUGAUUCAAUUUUUUGAUGCCCUGCAGUAGUAGGGCC